UAUUUAUUAGGUCUUUCCACUUUUCUGUGGAAAGACCUAUUGUUUUUCUUCUGAUUAUUUUUUUUUUUUUUUUCUUCCGCCUAAUUUUGUUCUUGCGAUAAACAUUUGUUUCGCAAUAUGUCGCUUAGAUAUUUGGUAUAUAAUAUCGAACAGUUUAUGCACUUUUGAAAUUUACCCUGCGUAAACGAAUACUUUUCUUUGUAGGAGUUAUCUCCCCAAACACUGUUUUCCUUGUUAGCGCAUCUCCUUCGCAACCGUAAAAGAUUAUGACAAAUUUAUUUUACAAAAUUGCUC
rnacentral:lncRNA from 1 species